CCUGCAGGAGUAUCUCCGACCGAUCCAGUGGGCGAUCCUCUGUUCGAUUCCCCUGAGAGGCAUCCAAGAGACCCUCGUCGAUUUCUGGAGCGAGCCCUUGAAGCUAGGUCUAACCGAAGUCAUCCUCGCCGUCCCCGUCUGGGUCUUCAACGUCUUCAUCGGAUCCCUCGUGGAUAUUAAAAACGUCUGCUUUAGGGUUUUUCUCAGGAGAUCGAAGCCCAAGAGGACGACGAGGAAGAGGACCGGUGGGUUCUCGAGGUUGGUUAAGUGGUUAGUCUCCUUCGGUGUCUUCGUCAUUGCUUAUGAGAGGAUUGGUGCUAUUGGCUCCCUUGUGAUUCUCUCUUUAGGGUUUCUCUUUAGCUCCAAGA
rnacentral:lncRNA from 1 species